AAGUCGUAACAAGGUUUCCGUAGGUGAACCUGCGGAAGGAUCAUCAAUGAAAUUCUGACUGAGGUUGUAGCUGGCCCUUCGCGGGGCAUGUGCACGCCUCUUUCACAAUCCACACACACCUGUGCACCUUUGCGUGAGUCUCGGGAGCCGGUCGGGUGGCAACGCCCUUCCGUAGUACCGGGCUCGCGUCCCUUUCACAAACUCUAUGCAUGUCUUAAGAAUGUCUACUCGAUGUAAUAAAACGCAUCUAAUACAA
rnacentral:misc_RNA from 1 species